rnacentral:rRNA from 1 species
AGAGUUUGAUCCUGGCUCAGAACGAACGCUGGCGGCGUGGAUAAGACAUGCAAGUCGAACGAGAGAAUUGCUAGCUUGCUAAUAAUUCUCUAGUGGCGCACGGGUGAGUAACACGUGAGUAACCUGCCCCCGAGAGCGGGAUAGCCCUGGGAAACUGGGAUUAAUACCGCAUAGUAUCGAAAGAUUAAAGCAGCAAUGCGCUUGGGGAUGGGCUCGCGGCCUAUUAGUUAGUUGGUGAGGUAACGGCUCACCAAGGCGAUGACGGGUAGCCGGUCUGAGAGGAUGUCCGGCCACACUGGAACUGAGACACGGUCCAGACACCUACGGGUGGCAGCAGUCGAGAAUCAUUCACAAUGGGGGAAACCCUGAUGGUGCGACGCCGCGUGGGGGAAUGAAGGUCUUCGGAUUGUAAACCCCUGUCAUGUGGGAGCAAAUUAAAAAGAUAGUACCACAAGAGGAAGAGACGGCUAACUCUGUGCCAGCAGCCGCGGUAAUACAGAGGUCUCAAGCGUUGUUCGGAAUCACUGGGCGUAAAGCGUGCGUAGGCUGUUUCGUAAGUCGUGUGUGAAAGGCGCGGGCUCAACCCGCGGACGGCACAUGAUACUGCGAGACUAGAGUAAUGGAGGGGGAACCGGAAUUCUCGGUGUAGCAGUGAAAUGCGUAGAUAUCGAGAGGAACACUCGUGGCGAAGGCGGGUUCCUGGACAUUAACUGACGCUGAGGCACGAAGGCCAGGGGAGCGAAAGGGAUUAGAUACCCCUGUAGUCCUGGCAGUAAACGGUGCACGCUUGGUGUGCGGGGAAUCGACCCCCUGCGUGCCGGAGCUAACGCGUUAAGCGUGCCGCCUGGGGAGUACGGUCGCAAGAUUAAAACUCAAAGAAAUUGACGGGGACCCGCACAAGCGGUGGAGUAUGUGGCUUAAUUCGAUGCAACGCGAAGAACCUUACCUGGGCUUGACAUGUAAUGAACAACAUGUGAAAGCAUGCGACUCUUCGGAGGCGUUACACAGGUGCUGCAUGGCCGUCGUCAGCUCGUGUCGUGAGAUGUUUGGUUAAGUCCAGCAACGAGCGCAACCCCUGUUGCCAGUUACCAGCACGUGAAGGUGGGGACUCUGGCGAGACUGCCCAGAUCAACUGGGAGGAAGGUGGGGACGACGUCAGGUCAGUAUGGCCCUUAUGCCCAGGGCUGCACACGUACUACAAUGCCCAGUACAGAGGGGGCCGAAGCCGCGAGGCGGAGGAAAUCCUGAAAACUGGGCCCAGUUCGGACUGUAGGCUGCAACCCGCCUACACGAAGCCGGAAUCGCUAGUAAUGGCGCAUCAGCUACGGCGCCGUGAAUACGUUCCCGGGUCUUGCACUCACCGCCCGUCA